rnacentral:sRNA from 1 species
CAACGAGCAGCCCCAUGGUGGGCGCCUGCGUGGGCCCUGCCAGCUCUUCGACUUCAAUGGGGCUAGGGGCGACCAGUGCCUGAAGCUCACGUACAUCUCAGAGGGUUGGGAGAAUGUGGAUGACAGCAGUUGCCAGCUGGUUCCGCAUCUCCACAUCUGGCAUGGAAAGUGCCCCUUCCGCUCCUUCUGCUUCCGGAGAAAAGCAGGGCUUGGAGACCAAGUAUAUGGAAAUCCUCAGAUUCCAGGCAUCAGAGGAGGAAUCCUGGGCAGCACCACCACCUGUUUCCCAGCCGCCCCCAUGCAAUAGGCUGCCCCCAGAGCUCUUUGAGCAGCUGCGGAUGUUGUUGGAGCCAAACAGCAUCACCGGCAAUGACUGGCGCAGACUGGCCUCCCACCUGGGGCUUUGCGGCAUGAAGAUCCGGUUCCUGUCCUGCCAGCGCAGCCCCGCAGCGGCCAUCCUGGAGUUGUUUGAGGAGCAGAACGGCAGCCUGCAGGAGCUGCACUACCUCAUGACCGUCAUGGAGCGGCUAGACUGCGCCUCCGCCAUCCAGAACUACCUGAGUGGGACACACGGCGGCAGCCCAGGCCCCGAGCGCGGGGGCGCCCGGGAUAACCAGGGCCUGGAGCUGGACGAGAAGCUCUGA